rnacentral:rRNA from 1 species
UACGAAGGGGGCUAGCGUUGCUCGGAAUUACUGGGCGUAAAGGGCGCGUAGGCGGAUGUCUAAGUUGGGGGUGAAAUCCCGGGGCUCAACCUCGGAACCGCCUUCAAUACUGGAUAUCUUGAGUUCGGGAGAGGUGAGUGGAAUGCCGAGUGUAGAGGUGAAAAUUCGUAGAUAUUCGGCGGAACACCAGUGGCGAAGGCGACUCACUGGCUCGUAUCUGACGCUCAGGCGCGAUAGCGUGGGGGAUCAAACAGG